rnacentral:rRNA from 1 species
AGAGCGAACGCUGGCGGCGUGCUUAACACAUGCAAGUCGAACGAGGUCUGUAGCAAUACAGAUACUCGUGGCGAACGGGUGCGUAACACGUGGAUAACCUUCCUUCAGGUGGGGAAUAACCCAGUGAAAUUGGGCUAAUACCGCAUAACAUGACGAUGCCACAUGGUGUUGUCUUCAAAGGCGCAAGUCGCCAGAAGAGGGAUCCGCGGCCGAUUAGCUAGUUGGCGAGGUAAUGGCUCACCAAGGCAAUGAUCGGUAGCCGGACUGAGAGGUUGGCCGGCCACACUGGAACUGAGACACGGUCCAGACUCCUACGGGAGGCAGCAGUGGGGAAUUUUGCGCAAUGGGGGAAACCCUGACGCAGCAACGCCGCGUGGAGGAUGAAGCCCUUGGGGUGUAAACUCCUUUCGAUCGGGAAGAUAAUGACGGUACCGAUAUAAGAAGCCCCGGCUAACUUCGUGCCAGCAGCCGC